GCGACACUAGCUCAGUUGGUAGCUCAGAACCUUGCCAAGGUUGAGGUCACGAGUUCGAACCUCGUGUGUCGCUCCA
rnacentral:tRNA from 1 species